rnacentral:rRNA from 1 species
GAUGAACGCUGGCGGCGUGCUUAACACAUGCAAGUCGAACGAUGAAGCCCAGCUUGCUGGGUGGGUUAGUGGCGAACGGGUGAGUAACACGUGAGUAACCUGCCCUUGACUCGGGGAUAAGCCUGGGAAACUGGGACUAAUACUGGAUAUGACUUCUCAUCGCAUGGUGGGGGGUGGAAAGAUUUAUUGUUCUUGGAUGGACUCGCGGCCUAUCAGCUUGUUGGUGAGGUAAUGGCUCACCAAGGCGACGACGGGUAGCCGGCCUGAGAGGGUGACCGGCCACAAUGGGACUGAGACACGGCCCAGACUCCUACGGGAGGCAGCAGUGGGGAAUAUUGCACAAUGGGCGCAAGCCUGAUGCAGCGACGCCGCGUGAGGGAUGACGGCCUUCGGGUUGUAAACCUCUUUCAGUAGGGAAGAAGCGAGAGUGACGGUACCUGCAGAAGAAGCGCCGGCUAACUACGUG